AAACUCACCAGGUCCAGACAAAAUAAGGAUUGACAGAUUGAGAGCUCUUUCUUGAUCUUUUGGAUGGUGGUGCAUGGCCGUUCUUAGUUGGUGGAGUGAUUUGUCUGCUUAAUUGCGAUAACGAACGAGACCUCGGCCCUUAAAUAGCCCGGUCCGCAUUUGCGGGCCGCUGGCUUCUUAGGGGGACUAUCGGCUCAAGCCGAUGGAAGUGCGAGGCAAUAACA
rnacentral:rRNA from 1 species